rnacentral:rRNA from 1 species
ACGUAUGAGAGUAACUGUUCAUACGUUGACGGUAGUUUAACCAGAAAGUCACGGCUAACUACGUGCCAGCAGCCGCGGUAAUACGUAGGUGGCAAGCGUUAUCCGGAUUUAUUGGGCGUAAAGAGAGUGCAGGCGGUUUUCUAAGUCUGAUGUGAAAGACCUUCGGCUUAACCGGAGAAGUGCAUCGGAAACUGGAUAACUUGAGUGCAGAAGAGGGUAGUGGAACUCCAUGUGUAGCGGUGGAAUGCGUAGAUAUAUGGAAGAACACCAGUGGCGAAGGCGGCUACCUGGUCUGCAACUGACGCUGAGACUCGAAAGCAUGGGUAGCGAACAGGAUUAGAUACCCUGGUAG